AUACGUAGGUGACAAGCGUUAUCCGGAUUUACUGGGCGUAAAGGGCGUGUAGGCGGUCUUGCAAGUCAGAAGUGAAAUUCCUGAGCUCAACUCGGGCGCUGCUUCUGAAACUGCAGGACUUGAGUGCUGGAGGGGAUAGCGGAAUUCCUAGUGGAGCGGUAAAAUGCGCAGAUAUUAGGAAGAACACCGGUGGCGAAGGCGGCUAUCUGGACAGUAACUGACGCUGAGGCGCGAAAGCGUGGGGAGCAAACAGGAUUAGAUACCCUGGUAGUCCACGCCGUAAACGAUGGAUACUAGGUGUAGAGGGUAUCGACCCCUUCUGUGCCGCAGCGAACGCAAUAAGUAUCCCGCCUGGGGAGUACGGUCGCAAGACUGAAACUCAAAUGAAUUGACGGGG
rnacentral:rRNA from 1 species